ACCAGACUCCUACGGGAGGCAGCAGUGGGGGAUAUUGCACAAUGGGGGGAACCCUGAUGCAGCGACGCCGCGUGAGGGAAGACGGUUUUCGGAUUGUAAACCUCUGUCUUUAGGGACGAAACAAAUGACGGUACCUAAAGAGGAAGCCACGGCUAACUACGUGCCAGCAGCCGCGGUAAUACGUAGGUGGCACGCGUUGUCCGGAAUUACUGGGUGUAAAGGGAGCGUAGGCGGGAAUGCAAGUUGAAUGUUGAAACUAUGGGCUCAACCCAUAGUCGCGUUCAAAACUGCAUUUCUUGAGUGGAGUAGAGGCAGGCGGAAUUCCUAGUGUAGCGGUGAAAUGCGUAUAUAUUAGGAGGAACACCAGUGGCGAAGGCGGCCUGCUGGGCGCUAACUGACGCUGAGGCUCGAAAGCGUGGGGAGCAAACAGGAUUAGAUACCCCA
rnacentral:rRNA from 1 species